rnacentral:lncRNA from 1 species
UCAGGGAAGUAACUCGCGUAGAGGUUGUAGCCAAGCUACCCCAACUGACUCCCCCUAAACGCUUAGUGACCUCGGGAGUGUCAGAGACCCCUUGACCCUUCCUACUCCCUGCUAGGCUGGUCUGUGAACAGGCUUCGGACCCACAGUGCAGAAAGAAGGCUUUUGUUUUAAGCAUGAUACCUAGAAGGGACUUGGUGGCUAGCAUCUGUUGCGUGAUCCAGAAGGCUGAGGGAUCCAGCUCUCCCUGACCACUGGACCUCCAGAAAUACUGAACAUCACACUCUUCUAGCAAGCACCAGAAAAAAAGGGCUUCCUUAUCCACUCCCAGAGGAA